UAUCCCCUUGUUUUAUAAUCUAAAGACAGGCCCAAACCCAGAUCGAAAUAUUUCUAAUAUAAUUUCUUUUGGCGGAGGAAAGAGGGGAAAAAGGUUAAGUGGUUGAGGAUAGCCCUAUCCUCUACCCCCCUUGCAGAUUGGCUUUCAAAGUGUGGAGGCCAGAAGCUUAGGGGCCUUGGCCUCCCUUCCCACCAACUGCUUCUUUGUCCCUUACACUCAGUUGACUAACUUCUAAUGUUCAGUUCAAGGGACAGGUAAGGGAGAGAGAUCCAAGUGAAAGGAUCUGGCUGGCUUAGGCCAGAGUGAGUCCAAAAAAAUCCCUCUUGAGAAAUCAGAUAGCUGUUGAUGAAUCUCAGGGGAGGUGUUGAGGGUCUCUGAAUGGAGUCAGGUCCCAACUGGUAGACAAAUCUGGUUGAACUCCUUCUCAGCCUCUGGAAACUGCUCCCUCCUUCUCCUCCCCUUCCCAGGCUGGAAGUGUCUUGUCAGUUGCUUCAGAGUUCUAUCCAGCUUUCAGAACUCCCUGGAUUUUCUUGCCCCUCCUCCACUGCUCUUCAGGCUGAUCUGUCAUCAGACCGGCUUCUCAUCUCAAUCCCAGGGUCUCUCUUACUUUAGAAGAGGUCUUCAAUAGCAGUGUUGUUUGUUCUCAUCGAACCAGUCCUGGUGGUUGCGUUGUUUGGGGUCUAGGACUGCAAGACCAAGAAUUAAGGGUAUUGUUUAAAACAAUAAUUUCUAAAAUCCUGUGAAUAUAACCUGUGCUCAAUAUUUUAAAGAAUCUAUUGGAUCUCGGUAAAAAGCCAAAUUAAUUCUCAAGAACUCCUUUCAUAUAAUCUAAGUAGUUAGAUAAUGUUACUUACAAAUGAGUUGCCAUCAAACUCAUUAAAAGGACAUAGUAUUUCAAGGUUUAUAUAAAUGGAUUCAGCAAUUUUUAGGCGUAUUCCCAAGAGAAAAAAAUCACUGGUGAAUUGAUACUGCCCUAAAAGCCAAACUGAUCCCAAGUAAUUUAGUUUUAGCUAUUCAUCUUUUCCUCAUAUUUUCUGAAUCAAUUCUUAUCAUGAUUUUUAAAUCACUUGGAAGUUGAUUAGCACUACACUUCAUUUUGGCCAGGAAGGCAUACUUGAUUAUGUUCAGGAUUUAUUUUUGGUUUAGCAUUGUUUAUUUCAUGACAUAAAUACUGUGCACUUUAAAGAGGGAAAAAAAAUGGCCAUAGUUACUUUCACAGUGCCAAUAGUGACUCAUGAAUGGUAUUAUUCAUUAGGUCUGUUCCUGAGUUAUGUGGCUAGAAGUUGCACUUUUUAGAUUUCAUGUGUAUAUUAACAUGAUUUACAAAGUGAGAAUAAAAUUAGGAAAAUUAGAAAUGAAAAUUCA
rnacentral:lncRNA from 1 species